rnacentral:rRNA from 1 species
UACGUAGGGGGCAAGCGUUGUCCGGAAUCAUUGGGCGUAAAGCGCGCGUAGGCGGCCCGGUAAGUCCGUUGUGAAAGUCGGGGGCUCAACCCUCGAAUGCCGGUGGAUACUGUCGGGCUAGAGUGCGGAAGAGGCGAGUGGAAUUCCUGGUGUAGCGGUGAAAUGCGCAGAUAUCAGGAGGAACACCAAUUGCGAAGGCAGCUCGCUGGGACGUUACUGACGCUGAGACGCGAAAGCGUGGGGAGCAAACAGG